AACGAACGCUGGCAGCAUGCCUAACACAUGCAAGUCGAACGAGACCUUCGGGUCUAGUGGCGCACGGGUGCGUAACGCGUGGGAACCUGCCCUUAGGUUCGGAAUAACUCCCCGAAAGGGGUGCUAAUACCGGAUAAUGUCCUCGGACCAAAGAUUUAUCGCCUUUGGAUGGGCUCGCGUUGGAUUAGCUAGUUGGUAGGGUAAAAGCCUACCAAGGCGACGAUCCAUAGCUGGUCUGAGAGGAUGAUCAGCCACACUGGGACUGAGACACGGCCCAGACUCCUACGGGAGGCAGCAGUGGGGAAUAUUGGACAAUGGGCGAAAGCCUGAUCCAGCAAUGCCGCGUGAGUGAUGAAGGCCUUAGGGUUGUAAAGCUCUUUUACCCGGGAUGAUAAUGACAGUACCGGGAGAAUAAGCUCCGGCUAACUCCGUG
rnacentral:rRNA from 1 species